rnacentral:rRNA from 1 species
UACGUAGGGUCCGAGCGUUUGUCCGGAAUUACUGGGCGUAAAGAGCUCGUAGGUGGUUUGUCGCGUUGUUCGUGAAAACUCACAGCUCAACUGUGGGCGUGCGGGCGAUACGGGCAGACUAGAGUACUGCAGGGGAGACUGGAAUUCCUGGUGUAGCGGUGGAAUGCGCAGAUAUCAGGAGGAACACCGGUGGCGAAGGCGGCCGACUGGGCCGACCCUGACGCUGGAGGC